rnacentral:tRNA from 1 species
AGGCGGUUAGCUCAGAUGGUUAGAGCGCCACGUUGACGUCGUGGAGGUCGUUGGUUCGAUUCCAAUACCGCCUACCA